GAAAAUUAAAGGAGGGAAAUGCUGAUGACCUCUCCCUCUUGUGACAGGUCUCUAACAAGGCCAACUUGGUGUUGUGUUUAUAAAAAUGAAGAUGUCUCCUUGUGGGGAUAGGGCAUAAUACUAAAGAGCAUGCCUCUCAAAGUGCACUGGGUUGAAUUAGUGGAUGGGAGACUUGAAACUUAAAAAUGGGUAACUUUGUAAUAGUGGGAAAACCAGGUCCCCUGUUUGAGAGAGGUCUUCCUCUUGCUUUGCAGUUUCCCUUCAGCAAGAAGCUAUGGGGAGCUUCUAGGUCUAAUGCUGUUCCUCUGCUUUUGAGCUGAAUUUCUGCAUGGCAGCCUUUCUCGAAUGCAGUAGGGCUUCCCUGGCUUGAAGAUGGGUGUGCUGUCCUGAGGGAGGAGCAGUGUUGACUGUCUUACAGUGACCUUCUGCUUUCCUUUAAGAAGAGUCCACUAAGAACUGUAUUGGGUUUUUCAGUAGGUAACUCAGGAGAGGGCUUCUCGGUGAAAUCCUUUGUGUUGAAUUGCAGUAAGUUGAGUAUGUGAACCUUCCUCCCAAACUGAGACCGAACGCCAGCAAAAUGCCAAAUAUGUUGUCCUGUUUCCCUUUAUAACAAAAGAUGUGGUACUUUGCUGGGGUUGCGC
rnacentral:lncRNA from 1 species